rnacentral:rRNA from 1 species
GGGUCAGUAGGUUGGUCGUGCCACCGGUACGUACUGGUCUCACUGAUUCCUCCUUCCUGAAGAACCGUAAUGCCAUUAAUUUGGUGUUGCGGGGAGACAAGACUGUUACUUUGAAAAAAUUAGAGUGUUUAAAGCAAGCUAACGCUUGAAUACAUUAGCAUGGAAUAAUGAAAUAGGACGAUCGAUCCUAUUUUGUUGGUUUCUAGGAUUGACGUA